rnacentral:rRNA from 1 species
AUUGAACGCUGGCGGCAUGCUUUACACAUGCAAGUCGAACGGUAACAGGCCUUCGGGCGCUGACGAGUGGCGAACGGGUGAGUAAUGCAUCGGAACGUGCCCAGUCGGGGGGGAUAACGCAGCGAAAGCUGCGCUAAUACCGCAUACGAUCUAUGGAUGAAAGCGGGGGACCGUAAGGCCUCGCGCGAUUGGAGCGGCCGAUGUCAGAGUAGGUGGUUGGUGGGGUAAAGGCUCACCAAGCCAACGAUCUGUAGCUGGUCUGAGAGGACGAACAGCCACACUGGGACUGAGACACGGCCCAGACUCCGACGGGAGGCAGCAGUGGGGAAUUUUGGACAAUGGGCGCAAGCCUGAUCCAGCAAUGCCGCGUGCAGGAAGAAGGCCUUCGGGUUGUAAACUGCUUUUGUACGGAACGAAACGGUCCUGGUUAAUACCUGGGGCUAAUGACGGUACCGUAAGAAUAAGCACCGGCUAACUACGUGCCAGCCGCCGCAGUAACAC